ACUAUGUGGUGUUCGUGCAGGUUUCUUUUUCUUCUUAUUUCUAACGUGCGGGCCCCACUGCCACAUCAUCGUCAUCAAGCUUGAGCAACGAACGGACACACCGCAGGACUGUGUACCUUUUCAGUUUCCCAUCCCAAAUUGAUUUCCGGUGAUUUAAGCCACCAUUUGAUGAACCGUUUCUUCCUAUUUAAGCUCCACAUCCUCCUCUUCAUUUCCCCUCAAACCACACAGACCGAGAGCCUCCAGGCUGCUCGAAUUUGGCCUCGCAACUCCGCGGUACUGCCGCAGUAUAUCGUCGAAUUCGCGACGGUGCCAUCUUCGUCUGUGAGCACGUCCGCGAGGCAGUUUCCGGCGAGCGAUUCCGGACGAACCCGUCGAUCUCCACGUUCCCGUCUUCGCCGAUUUAUAUUUGUCAAAUCAAGCGCCGUUGCCUGCUUCAACAUCGCCGGGGAAUCAUCCUCGAAGAGGCGCGGUUGUAUUCCAGCAAUCCCCAUCUCCUAUUGUGGUUGUGUUGAUUGCAACGAGUGUUUCCGCGAAGAGUGUACCAACUAGUCCUCUCACCAAGGC